UACGAAGGGGCUAGCGUUGUUCGGAAUUACUGGGCGUAAAGCGCACGUAGGCGGGUUGUUAAGUCAGGGGUGAAAUCCUGGAGCUCAACUCCAGAACUGCCUUUGAUACUGGCAACCUAGAGACUGGAAGAGGUUAGUGGAAUUCCCAGUGUAGAGGUGAAAUUCGUAGAUAUUCGCAAGAACACCAGUGGCGAAGGCGGCUCACUGGCCCGGUACGUGACGCUGAGGUGCGAAAGCGUGGGGAG
rnacentral:rRNA from 1 species